rnacentral:rRNA from 1 species
AUACGUAGGGGGCAAGCGUUGUUCGGAAUCAUUGGGCGUAAAGGGCGAGCAGGCGGUCCUGCAAGUCCGGCGUGAAAGACCCCGGCCCAACCGGGGGGACGCGCUGGAAACUGUGGGGCUUGAGUACAGGAGGGGAUGCCGGAAUUCCAGGUGUAGGGGUGAAAUGUGUAGAUAUCUGGAAGAACACCAAUGGCGAAGGCAGGCAUCUGGCCAUGUACUGACGCUGAGACGCGAAGGUGCGGGGAGCAAGCAGGUUUAGAUACCCUGGUAGUCCGCACAGUAAACGAUGUGCACCAGGUGGCGGGGGGUCGACCCUCGGUACCGUAGCUAACGCAUUAAGUGCACCGCCUGGGGAGUAUGCUCGCAAGGGUGAAACUCAAAGGAAUGGACGGGG